AUCCAGCUAACGUGUUCCAACUAAGGCGAAACGCGCGUCCUAGAU
rnacentral:hammerhead_ribozyme from 1 species